UUAAACUAUACACUCUUUAUUAUUAAUGUACAUUUAUGAAAAAUUCUUCACAGUUACAAAAGUGCAUGGUUAUAAAAUCAUCUCCAUACAAAGGUUGGCAUCUUCCCUUUCCCCAUCCCUCCCUAACCCUCCCACCCCCAGACAUCAGCAUUCCACAGGACAAGAGCUUAGAAAAACUGAGAGCUCAGUGAAUCCAGAGCUCUCCAACCCAAAGCUGUGGCAAACAUGGUGGUGAUUUACAUAGGACUUUGCAACUUGCCUCCUUCAUCUCCCUUUUGCCUCCUCUGAGGUGGGUAGAGCAGACAAGAUUCUCUAGCUUUGGGAAAUUGUUCUUCUGAGAAAUGGGCAAAGAUGUCUCCUUAUAUUCUUCUAGAGCUGAAAAGAAUGUCAGAGCAAUAUCCACAAAAACAUCUAUAAGGAAAAUGGAGGCUGUAGGUGUUUCCUGAUGGUUGAAGAGAAAUGCCUUUCUUGGGCUAUUCAAACCAUAUGCCAUCUUCCUUGAAAAGAGCUAGCAAACUCUAUAGCAACUCUGGGGACCUAUUUCUGCAGAAUUUCCCGGUACUCCCUAUGGGAAUGGAGAAACAGGUGAGGAUUUGUCUGUUGGUGACCGGAAUCAACUGGUCCAGAGUGGUGUGGUACAGAUUGGGGUCUUUUCUAAAGAACAAUUUUCUUGGUGCACUAUCAUAGCACUGUUGGUUAGCUAAACUUUGAUAUCCUCUGGCCCAGCAUAAAGGAAGCUUCUGUGAUAAGGACAAAUCUCUGAGAGAUAGAGAAUGGAGGGAAGCAGUCAGGCUGUUGCUAGGUUGCCUCAGCCACACAUUUAUCUCUUUUUUAUAUUUUUCUGAGCAGUGAUCCCUAACCCAAUCCUAAUGGGAUUCCACUUAUUGUACCAAGUGAUGCAAUGAACAGAUGGUUGAGUAUACUGUGUCAGAGAACUGAACUCAAGUUCCAGAGAGGUUGGCCCCAUAUCAGUAGAUACCCAACGUUCAUGGAACCUCAUGAACAGACACAUUGCCUCAGAGAUGCCCCAAUAUUUACACGUUAACUAGUCUGAAAAAAACUUAUCCAAGGUUUGUAGGAAUAUCUUCAUGGUUUCUUGGUCAGCAGGAUUGUGUGAACAUUUACAACUAGGGCAGUUAUAUUACCUCUAGAGAGGUGUGCUUCUAGAAGCUUGGUUCUGAUAGCCUGCACAAGAGGGUGGUGGUGAUGGGAGACAUGGAAUUCCUUGUCAGGUGAGAAGUUUUAUUAUUGUGCUUUAGCUAACUGGGGAUCUUCUAGCUGCUGGAGAAGAAUCUGUUCUUUAAAUGUCAUGUAUCUUACUCAGAAAAAUUUGCCAUUAAUGGGGACAAAUAGUCUUAUUAGAAAGGACAUUUGAAUUCAAGGGGGUAUUAGGUGUCUUGUUUCAUUCUAGUUCUAUGCAAAAAGGUACAUAUCUUAAAAUAUAUUAACUAUAUUUCAGUAAAUAAGAGUCUCUAGGAGAUUAUAAUAGAUGUAUA
rnacentral:lncRNA from 1 species